rnacentral:rRNA from 1 species
GGUUAAGUUAGAAAGGGCGCACGGUGGAUGCCUUGGCACUAGGAGCCGAUGAAGGACGGGACGAACACCGAUAUGCUUCGGGGAGCUGUAAGCAAGCUUUGAUCCGGAGAUUUCCGAAUGGGGAAACCCACCACUCGUAAUGGAGUGGUAUCCAUAUCUGAAUACAUAGGAUAUGAGAAGGCAGACCCGGGGAACUGAAACAUCUAAGUACCCGGAGGAAGAGAAAGCAAAUGCGAUUCCCUGAGUAGCGGCGAGCGAAACGGGACCAGCCCAAACCAAGAGGCUUGCCUCUUGGGGUUGUAGGACACUCUGUACGGAGUUACAAAGGAACGAGGUAGAUGAAGAGGUCUGGAAAGGCCCGCCAUAGGAGGUAACAGCCCUGUAGUCAAAACUUCGUUCUCUCCUGAGUGGAUCCUGAGUACGGCGGAACACGUGAAAUUCCGUCGGAAUCCGGGAGGACCAUCUCCCAAGGCUAAAUACUCCCUAGUGACCGAUAGUGAACCAGUACCGUGAGGGAAAGGUGAAAAGCACCCCGGAAGGGGAGUGAAAGAGAUCCUGAAACCGUGUGCCUACAAGUAGUCAGAGCCCGUUAACGGGUGAUGGCGUGCCUUUUGUAGAAUGAACCGGCGAGUUACGAUCCCGUGCAAGGUUAAGCAGAAGAUGCGGAGCCGCAGCGAAAGCGAGUCUGAAUAGGGCGAAUUGAGUACGUGGUCGUAGACCCGAAACCAGGUGAUCUACCCAUGUCCAGGGUGAAGUUCAGGUAACACUGAAUGGAGGCCCGAACCCACGCACGUUGAAAAGUGCGGGGAUGAGGUGUGGGUAGGGGGUGAAAUGCCAAUCGAACCUGGAGAUAGCUGGUUCUCUCCGAAAUAGCUUUAGGGCUAGCCUCAAGGUAAGAGUCUCGGAGGUAGAGCACUGAUUGGACUAGGGGCCCCUACCGGGUUACCGAAUUCAGUCAAACUCCGAAUGCCGAUGACUUAUCCUUGGGAGUCAGACUGCGAGUGAUAAGAUCCGUAGUCGAAAGGGAAACAGCCCAGACCGCCAGCUAAGGUCCCAAAGUAUACGUUAAGUGGAAAAGGAUGUGGAGUUGCUUAGACAACCAGGAUGUUGGCUUAGAAGCAGCCACCAUUUAAAGAGUGCGUAAUAGCUCACUGGUCGAGUGACUCUGCGCCGAAAAUGUACCGGGGCUAAACGUAUCACCGAAGCUGCGGACUGUUCUUCGAACAGUGGUAGGAGAGCGUUCUAAGGGCUGUGAAGCAAGACCGGAAGGACUUGUGGAGCGCUUAGAAGUGAGAAUGCCGGUAUGAGUAGCGAAAGAGGGGUGAGAAUCCCCUCCACCGAAUGCCUAAGGUUUCCUGAGGAAGGCUCGUCCGCUCAGGGUUAGUCGGGACCUAAGCCGAGGCCGAAAGGCGUAGGCGAUGGAUAACAGGUUGAUAUUCCUGUACCACCUCCUCACCAUUUGAGCAAUGGGGGGACGCAGGAGGAUAGGGUAAGCGCGGUAUUGGAUAUCCGCGUCCAAGCAGUUAGGCUGGGAAAUAGGCAAAUCCGUUUCCCGUGAAGGCUGAGCUGUGAUGGCGAGCGAAUUAUAGUAGCGAAGUUCCUGAUUCCACACUGCCAAGAAAAGCCUCUAGCGAGGUGAGAGGUGCCCGUACCGCAAACCGACACAGGUAGGCGAGGAGAGAAUCCUAAGGUGAUCGAGAGAACUCUCGUUAAGGAACUCGGCAAAAUGACCCCGUAACUUCGGGAGAAGGGGUGCUCUGUUAGGGUGCAAGCCCGAGAGAGCCGCAGUGAAUAGGCCCAGGCGACUGUUUAGCAAAAACACAGGUCUCUGCGAAGCCGUAAGGCGAAGUAUAGGGGCUGACGCCUGCCCGGUGCUGGAAGGUUAAGAGGAGCGCUUAGCGUAAGCGAAGGUGCGAAUUGAAGCCCCAGUAAACGGCGGCCGUAACUAUAACGGUCCUAAGGUAGCGAAAUUCCUUGUCGGGUAAGUUCCGACCCGCACGAAAGGCGCAACGAUCUGGGCACUGUCUCAACGAGAGACUCGGUGAAAUUAUAGUACCUGUGAAGAUGCAGGUUACCCGCGACAGGACGGAAAGACCCCGUGGAGCUUUACUGCAGCCUGAUAUUGAAUGUUGGUACAGCUUGUACAGGAUAGGUAGGAGCCUUGGAAACCGGAGCGCCAGCUUCGGUGGAGGCAUCGGUGGGAUACUACCCUGGCUGUAUUGACCUUCUAACCCGCCGCCCUUAUCGGGCGGGGAGACAGUGUCAGGUGGGCAGUUUGACUGGGGCGGUCGCCUCCUAAAAGGUAACGGAGGCGCCCAAAGGUUCCCUCAGAAUGGUUGGAAAUCAUUCGCAGAGUGUAAAGGCACAAGGGAGCUUGACUGCGAGACCUACAAGUCGAGCAGGGACGAAAGUCGGGCUUAGUGAUCCGGUGGUUCCGCAUGGAAGGGCCAUCGCUCAACGGAUAAAAGCUACCCCGGGGAUAACAGGCUUAUCUCCCCCCAAGAGUCCACAUCGACGGGGAGGUUUGGCACCUCGAUGUCGGCUCAUCGCAUCCUGGGGCUGUAGUCGGUCCCAAGGGUUGGGCUGUUCGCCCAUUAAAGCGGUACGCGAGCUGGGUUCAGAACGUCGUGAGACAGUUCGGUCCCUAUCCGUCGCGGGCGCAGGAAAUUUGAGAGGAGCUGUCCUUAGUACGAGAGGACCGGGAUGGACGCACCGCUGGUGUACCAGUUGUUCUGCCAAGGGCAUCGCUGGGUAGCUAUGUGCGGACGGGAUAAGUGCUGAAAGCAUCUAAGCAUGAAGCCCCCCUCAAGAUGAGAUUUCCCAUUCCGCAAGGAAGUAAGAUCCCUGAAAGAUGAUCAGGUUGAUAGGUCUGAGGUGGAAGUGUGGCGACACAUGGAGCUGACAGAUACUAAUCGAUCGAGGACUUAACCAA